GAUGUGCUCAUUCUUGCAGGUGAUACACUGAUAUACACAGGAAGGUUGGGGGCCGUGGUGAGGGUCAGGCCAAGGGGCUGAGCCUUGAGCUGUCCGGUUUCUUCUUUCUUUGAGCAUGCCAGGCUUUCUGUGACCAGCUUUGCACAUGCAGCCUUCCUCAUUCUUUCCCAGCACACUAGGUUUUGGUACCCCAGGGGUUUCCUCAGCCCCUUGCACAAGCCACCAGCCAGACGUUCACCACCUAGCUGUGCUUUAGGCCCAGGUGGUUUUUUUUACACUGUUAUGUGUUCCUCAAGAGAAGGAACAGAAACACACUACAUCAAACAGAAAAAAUACAUAAUUUUAAUACAAAUAAUCUAUUUUUAAUUUUUUCAUGUUUUUAUGUAUUUGGGGCAUUAAUUCCUUAUCAAAUACAUCAGCUCAUAGACUACCCUUUCAUUCUCUUUAUUCCCUUUUACUAGGCAGAGUUUUUUUUCUGUUUGAUGUAGUCUGUUUCUGUUUUUGAUUAAGCUUGAAGUGUCCAGAGCCCAGAGUUGCAUCUGAAGGGUACUGGGGACUGCAGGGAAUAUGGCCAUGGUGACGCCUUGAUUUGGGGCCUUGGCCUCCAAAACUGUGCAAGUAUAAAUAAAUAUCUGUUGUUUUGAGCCCCAAGUCUGUGGUAGCUAGAACAGCAGUCCUUGGAAACAAGUACAGAUGGCCAGGUUCAGUCCAGGAGUGAGUCUGAGACAGGUAGGAAGUAGUUAGCCACAGGGGAAGGAGCAACUUGCCCAUGAGUUGGAGGAAUCCCAGCAUAGCAGAACUCGGAACAUCAGCAGAGGUUUCCCCCAGGAAAGCGGAGAAGCAGAGGGGAAGGGGCUUGGAACAGUUCCCCUCUUCCCCAUCUCCAGCCCCAGCAGUCACGGUCUACUCUCUGCUUCUAUGAGCUAGACUCAGAUACCUCAUAAGAGUGGAGUGAACCAUGCAGAUUUGUCCUGUGGCUGGCUUGUUUCACUAAAUGUCCUCCAAGUCCUUCCCUGUUGUCACCAGUGGCAAGAUUUCCUUUUCUAUAACUGGAAAGUGUUAGUAUGUUUUUACCAUGUUUUUAUCUGUUCGUCUGUUAGACAUUUAAGUUGCUUCUGUGUCUUGGCUGUUGUGACCAAUGCUGCACUGAACAUGGAAGUUCAGAUUCUUCUGAAAUCCUGAUUUCAUUCUUUUGGAUUUAUACCAAGAAGUGGGGUUGCUGGGUCCUGUGGGUUCUAUUUUUAAUUUUUUCAAGGAAAUGCCAUACUGUCUUUCAUAGCAGUUGCACCAUUUUAUGUUCCUACACAGUACACAGGGUUCCAAUUUCUCCACAACCUCACCAGUUCUUGCUAUUUCAUGGCUUAAUUUGUUUUAUGUAGUAGCCAGACUAAUGGAUUUUGAUAAGAAUUGCCCUGAUGAUUAGUGAUAUGUAUCUGUUGGCCAUUUGUAGGUCUUCUUCAGAAAAAGGUAUUCAAGUCCUUUGUCCAUCUUUUAAUUGGGUUUUUGUUUUUGUUAUUGGAGUUUUUAUGUAUUUGGGGCAUUAAUUCCUUAUCAAAUACGUCAGUUCAUAGAUUACCCUUUCAUUCUCUUUAUUCCCUUUUACUAGGCAGAGUUUUUUUUCUGUUUGAUGUAGUCUGUUUCUGUUUUUGCCUUUGUUGCCUAUGCUUUCUUUGAGUCUUAGCCAAGGAAUCACUGCCAUAUCUGAUGUCACAAAUGU
rnacentral:lncRNA from 1 species